rnacentral:rRNA from 1 species
UACGUAGGGUGCAAGCGUUAAUCGGAAUUACUGGGCGUAAAGCGUGCGCAGGCGGUUAUGCAAGACAGAUGUGAAAUCCCCGGGCUCAACCUGGGAACUGCAUUUGUGACUGCAUGGCUGGAGUGCGGCAGAGGGGGAUGGAAUUCCGCGUGUAGCAGUGAAAUGCGUAGAUAUGCGGAGGAACACCGAUGGCGAAGGCAAUCCCCUGGGCCUGCACUGACGCUCAUGCACGAAAGCGUGGGGAGCAAACAGG